ACUCUCUGUUCUUUCUUUCCUGUCAAAAAUGUCCUCCAGACAACCUCCUUCAUGGCUGGAUCAUGCAUAACUAGAUGUCCAACAUUGGGUAGUUCAUGGUAGUGUAUCCAUGGAAGCCUUUCUGCAACGUAGCGCUGUAAUAUAACAGGUACAACCCAGUCUUGGUCACCAUGCCACAAGUGGACCGAGCCUUCACCGUUUGGGAAAGGGUUCUUAAGAUCCAUAGGAUCAAAAUCCCAUUUCCCAAACCCCACCAUCAUGUCACGGUGGAGGGACUCGAAUACACCUUGUUUUACAGCAUAUUCCUGCAGAUGAAACAAGCAGCAGCAACUUUUGAGCCAAACGCCUACUUAAUGCGAGCAGGAAUAAAACUCCACUUUACCAUGAACAGAACAAAAUUCUCCAGAAAAUUUAUUGCAAGGAUCAAACACAUGCAAGUGACAGUAGUCUAACAGUAAAUUGUCCAAAUUCACGUAGGAAACAAAUUACCUUAAGUUUUUGGCUUUCACUUGCAUGCUUAGCAAUUCCAGAAGCAACUUCCAAAUCUGGGGGAGAUAAUUUGGCUUUUCCAGCUAUAACACUAUUGUACGGGAACCACUUCUGAGUGUUCCACCAGUAGACUAGCCAAGGCGCAUAAUGUGCAACUCGAAGUGCCCAUUGGUCCUGUAGGAGCUGUAGAUUGUAUCCUUCUUUGGAUAAAUUAGCAGGGAAACCAGGCCACCAGUAAUUGACGACGGGAGCAACUAGAGCUGCUCCAGCUAACCUAGUCGCACCAAAAGAAGAUGCCACAAAUAAUCAGAAGCAGAGAAUACAGGAAUACUUGAAGUCUUGCUGCUGCUGUUGAGAAUCAUGACGAUCAAAAGAAAGUAGCAUAUACAUUGCUCAGAGGGACUUUGACUUGCCGAGGACGUGACCAUAGGAAGAUAUGGAGGUCAAGGAUUAGGGUAGAAAGUUAGUAAGUAGUGAGUAUUGUCUAGCUCCUUAUCAGUUUUGUUAUUAUUACUCUCUUAGUGUCUAUUCUUUGAUUGUGGCACUACCGAAUGUUUCCUUUGCUUCUAAUAUCGUCCAUUUUGCUGUUGCUACUUCUUCUUUUUAAAUUGUUUAUAGCAUGCUUCUUCAUUUCUGUACUUGUUUAACUUGUUUUUUGAUUCUUCUUUAACUGAGUGAGAGUCUAUCAGAAACAACCUCGUUACCUACAUAAGGUAGGGGUAAGGCUGCAUACACACUGCCCUCCCUAGACCCCAACUGUGUGAUUACACUGGGUAUGUUGAUGUUGUUAAGUUUAUUGGGUACAAACAUACGUACCGAUCAGGGAUGUAUUUAAGGCAACCCCAAACAGAAUGACCACCCAUCGAAAACCCCAUAACAUAAAAUUUAGGGCCAAGUCCGAGUUGAUCAGCAAGCUCUUCCAUAUCCAAAGCGGUAGUUUGUAUGGUUCGUUUUGGAUGUGGAUCGCUUUCCCCAUAACCAGGUCUAUCAAAAGAGACAACAUACACCCCUAAUUCUUCAAGUGUUUCCUGAAAGAAACACCAAUAAACCGUUAUAAUCUCAGUUCGAUUAAUACUCAAAAAGGAUGCAGAAAUACAAGUUUGACAAAGAGUUGAUGAAAUACCAAGGGUAUAAUAGCUGACUCAUAUCUGGUAGAACCAAAGCUGUGCGCAUAUAUGACCUUAUAUUUGGCCGUAUCUUUGGGUACACCAUGUUCCUUAUAAGCCAAAUGUCUUCCAUCCCUAAGUUUGAUUCUAGGUUCGGUAAAUGUUGGACCACCAGGAGAGCCACAGAUUUUAGGAGGUGGAGGUAGGAGGGCAGGGAAUGCCCAUGCCAGACCUGCAACCAACAAGACAACUAAAACUUUCCCAAGCAUACCUGAACACAAGAUAGACAUAACACUUACAAUAACAUAGCAACAUAUAGAUGGCAUAAUGUGAAGCUAUACAGUUUGAAUGGCAGGGCCGAAACUUAGGAAAUACUGAUUACUUAGUUGAAGCGAAGACAAAAUUUUGGAAAGAUUUUGCUUACAAGGAGAUUUCAGCUGUCAAAUGACAACGGAAACUAAUAAUAUUGGCAAGGUGAUGAUAUGAAGAAAUGAAUGUGGAAUACACAAAAAGGCAAACAAAUUAAAACAAAAUGUAACAACACGGAAGAAGUUAUUCUUUGCUUUUGGAAUGUUCACGUGAAUCAAGUUGUUCAACACGCAAGAACACAACCACCCUUUUCUAGUGUUAAGACUGAAAGUUUGCAUCCCAGAACUUUGUAUGAAAACUCUUGCUGAUCUAAAUGCCAAUGUUCCCGAAUUUAUGAAUUCACCCAUUGAAAGAGAAAACAUUUUAGAAAGAUUUUGCUUACAAGUAAAUUUGAGCUUUUAUAUGACAAUAACGAAAAUAAAGAAUGGUGGCAAGGUGAUGAUAUCAAGAAAUGAAUGUGGAAUACACAAUUGGAAGGCAAACAAAUCAAACAAGAUGAAUAGAGGAAGGUAUUCUUUCAAAAUUUUCAACCAAAUCAAGUUAUGACAAUCACAGAAGUCUUUUAUCACAACCCUUGCCAGCCAAAUUCGCUGAACUUAUGAAAUCAUCCACUUGUUUCUUAAAACCAUGUUUCCCUCAAUGUGACAAGAUAAAAUUGAAGGAAGAGAUUGUCUAGUAUGACUUAGUCUAGGAUUAUUCUUUCUCUUCGGAGAGAGAUGUCAUUUAGCAAGAAAUUACGACGUCUUUCUUUCAUCCGCUCUGUCCAGAGCCUAUGACAAUUGGUCUGGGCACUUGACAAUUUGCACCUACUUCACUAUGAGCUAAAUAAAGUAGACACGAAGCAACAGUUUGCAUAAGCAAGCAUAAAAUUGCACAAUGAACUAUUUCCUUUCUUCUGUACACCUGUUCUUUUCUUGUUAAUUUUUCUCAAUUCUCCUCUUUAUUCCUUUGUUUGUCAAUUUUCUCUUGGCUAACAGUCGGGGUGGGAGCUACAAGCCUAUCUACAGUUCAACAGAAUUCAGAAACUUUGUCUCAGAUCCUGUAUUUUUAUUUAAAAAUUCACUUAAUAUACAUAGAUAUUUUAUCAAGAACCCUAAAAGCCAUCUUUUGCUAGAUCUACAACCUAUAAAUUCAAAAUUCUAACUAUGUCUCUGCUAAGAGUCAUUUCAUUCUCACAGCUAUGCAACAGCUUGGCUACAUUACCACUCUAAUCCCCCUUCUUCUCACAUUUCCAAUAUUAACAUUUUAAUGAAUCAAUGAAUAAUCGACUGAGCCUCAAUCCUAAACUAGUUGACCUCAGUCUUAGAAGCCAAACUUUUAGCCUCUAGGAUUUGGACUCCGAUUUUCUUUCAUAAGCUAAGAUUUGCAUAAAUCUUCUAUAAUCAUUCCCUCAACAACAACCACAACAUAUCCACUAUAAUUUCACAACUGGGGUCUGGAAAGGAUGGAGUGCACGCAACCUAACCCUUACUUUUGAAGGUAGAGAGAUUGUUACCGAUAGACCCUCGGCCAAGUAAGCAUGUCACAAAUCAAAUCUGUAAAGAAAAUACAGUAGUGAAGAAGCCAUUUUGAAAACAAUUAAAUCAGAGCACGUAGCAACACAAAUAAUAUGAUAGUUGAAGCAAAGGAAACAACAAAUACUCAUAAGUGAACUAGACAACACUCGACUACCUACUAACAUUCUACCUCAAUCCUCGACCUUCUUUCUAUCUUGGAUCAUUUCCUCGGUGUGUUGCAGGUGAGUUAUGUCUUGUAAUCACCUGUACCCAAGACUUUUUCGGCGUACUUCUACCUCUCCUAAUACCCACUGUAGCUGAUCCUUCACACCUCCUCAUUGGAACAUCUGUACAUCUUUUCUUCAUAUGUCCAAACCAUCUCAGACUCGCCUCCGACAUCUUGUCCACCAUGGAGGCCACUCCCACCUCCCGAAUAGCUUCAUUCCUGAUACCGUCUCUCCUAAUAUGCUCACACGUACAUCUCAAUAUCCUCAUUUCUGCUACUUUCAUUUUCUGAGAGUGCGAGUUCUUGACCGGCCAACACUACACCUCACACUACAUACUUGAUCUGACCAUCACUCCAUAACCAUUCCCUCAAUUUAGUAAAUGAAAGAACUUAUAAAUUUCACUAUUCCUAUGCUCAAAGUCAACCUACUGUGAUCCUCUCUCCACUUUAUGGAACCUUUAACAUAAACCUCUUCCUCUUCAUAAUUUUUUUAAAGAACCGUGGUGUCCCAGUAGCUUGCACUGUUGCACCUAAUUUCAACAAGUACCAGUUAUUUGACAAAAAGUCCACAAAGGUGUACUCUUCUAUUUCAAAAUUCAUUCAUUCUAUGGAUAUUUUUGAAACAUCGUAAAGUCUUUCCAUAUUUCUUAAACUCCGUAUCUAGUCUAACUACAUCACAUAAAUCGAGGCCGAGGUUGUAGUACUUUUACCUCCUCUAGAUUUGAUCCUGAAACCUCAGAAUCCCAACCCAAUUCACUAACCACUAGGCCACUCCCUUGGAUGCCUUCCUCUUCACAAUCUUCUCAAACAAUAUAGCAAUAUAAACAAAAUGGAACCUUGAUUUUACUUUAAGAUAAAACAAUAUACAGAUUACAACUCAAAUAAGAAAAUAACAAAAAGCAUAAACAAGUAGGGUGUCUUGAAAUUGUACAGUAACAUACCUUGAUUUGAAUUGGAAUGAAAAAAUAUUGAAUCUUGAAGAUGAUUCAAUUGCUUUGUUGGAACAAUAUUGAAAGAUUGGGUUCUAGUGAGUGAUAAUACAAUUGGUUUGAACUUGUUAGUCCUGUAUAAAGAUUUUGCAAAGGUCAAUAAUGUUGGGUGAAUUUUUCUUUGAAUAAUUGGUGACACAGAGAGACCAAAUUUUGUAGGAAAAGUAGUAAUUGCCAUUUCAUUAUAUGUAUGGUCCACCAGUUGCACUUACUCUAGUACAUCAUAACCUAAUGCUUACAGGUCAAAUUGCUAAAUUUAUAAAUUAAAUUAAAUUAAUAAGAGUCAAUACACUCUUAUUUUUUACUUUUUGAGAUAAUGGUCAAAAAUAUGUUGAUAGUAUCACAUUUUGCGAGUUUUAUACCUGAACUAUCAAGUGUUUGUGCUUUUUAUCUAAUAUUAUCAAAACACACCCCAAAUCGACUAGAUCAGGUGUUUGAAUACAAUCGUUAAAUGACGUGUGACAACUUAAUUUACCCAUAAAAGUUCGUCCACAAGAGAACUAACUCAUUAAUUUCGAUGCAUAUUGUGAUAAUAGUUGAUUUUAGUUCAAAAAACAGGAACACCUAACAGGUCAGGUAGAAAACUCGUAAAAAAAAAGUGACAUGUCAAGUUUAUUUUUGACUAUUAUCUCUUAAUUUUUAAAAAUUUAAAAUUUUUAAAUUAAUUUCUUUAAUUAUCCGUGUGGAAUGCCAUUUGGCACCAUUUUUAAAUAAAAAGAGUAUACACCACGCACAUCAAGUACUAAUCGGGACAUGUUUUGAUAAAUAAUUGAUGAUAAUUCAAGUGAAAAGCACCAACACCUGAUAUUUCAAGUAUGAUGCUCGCAAAAACAUAACACUUCAGUACGACUUUGCCAUCAUCCUUUUUUCUUUCAUUUAUACAGGAGUGUCUUUGAGAUGUUAAAUGAGAUCUUGAGAACUAGUUCACAACAAUAACAUAUUGAUCCCACAAAUGGGUCUGGGAAGAAUUUAAGUGGGGUUUAUAGAGAAUUAAGUAUAUAUAGAAUUUACCCCUACUUUUUGGAGUAUAGAGAUUGUUUCCGAUAAUAUUUUAGGGUUGGAUGCAUAAACAAAUAUAAAAAAUUUCAAAUUAAAUGCCAAGACAAAAGAAGUGAUGAUUUUGAUAUGUCAUGGAAGUUCUUUUUUGGCGCAAUACAUGAAUAUGUACUUUUAACUUAACCUCAAAUUACAUCUAUAAGCUCCAAUUAUGGGUGUGAUAAGCAAAUACUUAAACUUGUAUAAAAUUGAACAAGGAGACAUAUAUGUCCUACGUAGCAUCCUACAUUGUCAAUUCUUGUCCUACAUGGCGUCCUACGUGUAUUAUGCCACAUGGGACAUGUGUGUCUACUUGUUCAACUUGAUACAAGUUUAAGUGCCUACUUGUGCACACCCAAAAUUGGAGGUCAUAAAUGUGAUUUGAAGCCAAGUUAAAGCUUGCACACGCUAGUGUCGAAAAACCUUUUUCUCAUUUUUAAGGAACUUAUUUCCGACCAACCGAACAUUCUAAAUCAUUCACAUUAUGUAAUUGCAACUUGAAUUCCAACAAAUAUUCAAUAAUUUGUGCAAAACAAGGUAUUAAUUAGGGGGGUCAAAGAAUAGAGCUUUGUUCAAAGUUAAUAAUUAAACAGAAAAGUGAAUUUCACUUGGCCUUCCAAUAGGUGAAUUUAUCCUAAUGCAUAAUGUAGCACACUUCAGAUACCAGCCCUUCUCCAAUUUUAAAAUCAAAGUUGGAAAUUAAACACUUCAGAAAGAAUCACAUUCUCAUAUUUAAGUCCAACGCAAAUAUAUUCUAUUUUAAUUAAUAUUUGUGCAUUAGGAUUAUGCCAAUAUCAAUACUGAAUCUGUCUUAAUUACAAAAGGAACCUCUAAAUCUCUUUGUUCCCCUUUAAGAAUGCACUCUCUGUUCUUUCUUUCCUGUCAAAAAUGUCCUCCAGACAACCUCCUUCAUGGCUGGAUCAUGCAUAACUAGAUGUCCAACAUUGGGUAGUUCAUGGUAGUGUAUCCAUGGAAGCCUUUCUGCAACGUAGCGCUGUAAUAUAACAGGUACAACCCAGUCUUGGUCACCAUGCCACAAGUGGACCGAGGCUUCACCGUUUGGGAAAGGGUUCUUAAGAUCCAUAGGAUCAAAAUCCCAUUUCCCAAACCCCACCAUCAUGUCACGGUGGAGGGACUCGAAUACUCCUUGUUUUACA
rnacentral:lncRNA from 1 species